CCCCAAGAUGGCGGCGGACGGCGUGAGGGAGGCGAAUGAGCCUCGAAUUGGGGCUGAAAACGGCGCCAGAGGUGUAAAAUAAAGCGAUUUAUGAGGUAAAUAACGAAGAAAGAACCGGAUCCUGCACUACGGGAGCGAAACGAGGGGUGCGCGCCCCAAAAAUCCCCUCAGAAACCCCGACAGAAGCAGCUCUGCCUCCAUUCCCAAGCCUUGGAAUACCGCUCCAGAGGGAAUCCCACCUCACCUCCCACACCAGCGAGCAUUUGUUCGUCUUCUUCACUGCCUCCUCGUCGGACUCCUCCUCAUCUGAAAACCAACCCCAAAAGCAGCCAAACCCCAUGAAUUUCACCCCAAAAAGAGAAGAACGGGGAGGGGGGAUACCCCCCCCACUCACCCUCACCCUUGGUGGCUGCCGUCUGCUCAUCCCAUUUGAUCCGGUGCAGCAUGAGCCGCUUGAACUUCUUCUGUGCUUUGGGACCUGCGGGAAGGCACCGGGAUGGGACCCAAGGCACUUCCCAGCCCCAACCGGCUUUCCCUUGGGAAUGCCGCCGUGUGCCGGAGGCCUCACCUCCCUCCACCACCACCACGUUGACGUCCUUGUGCAGCACCACAACCCCGCUCAGGUAGAGCUGCCCUGCGUUGGCCUCGAUCUUGAACUUCUUGGCUGGGUUGCUCAAGUUCCGGACCCUGUGUUGUUGGGAAGGGGCAGGAUGAGGCCCUGCUGAUCCCAGCGGGAAGAGCUGCAUCCCAAAAGCCCAUCCUGGUCUCCAUCUUUCAGGCCGUUGAGCUCAGCUUGGCCCAGUGGGAAUGCUCCCAAGCUGGAGCCAUGGGUUCAGCGCUUGGGUUUCCAAGGGGGAUGCGCUGCUCCGGCAGCACAUUCCUUAGGGAUGGAGGCUCGGCCUCACCUGUACACUGCUAUGUGAACCCCUUGGGACACGUCCUCCUUCAGCUUCUUCACCUUCUUGGCUUUCCGCUGCUCGGCCGUCAGCUUCCGGGCAGCGUUGGCCUCCUCGUGUGCCCUGCACACACACAGGGAUGCAGCAGGCACUGCCCCCCCUGCAUCCCAGAGCAUCCCCAAUUCCUGCUCCCUGGAAGGCUCAGGAACAGGGAUGAGCCUCGUGGCAAAAGGGAUCCCUCCAGCAGCCCCAGUGAGCUCAUACUUCCCAAAGCAUCCCCCAUUCAUCCUGCUUGGAAGCCUCAGGAGCAACAGGGAUGAGGCUCAUGGCAAGAGGAAUGCCUCUACCAGCCUCAAUGAGCUCAAACCAACCCCAUCUUCCGUCCAUCACUUCCCAAAUGCAUCCCCAAUUCCUUAUCCCUGGAAUGCUCAGGAAUAACAGGGAUGAGCCUCAUGGGAAGAGGGAUCCCUCCCUCCAGCAGCCCAGUGGGCUCAAACCCCAUCUUUCCUCCAUCACUUCCCAAAUGCCUCCCAAAAGGAGCCCCCCAGACCCCACUCUUCCACCUACUUCUGCCUCUUUGCCAUCUGAGCUCGGACGUGUGCUUCCACUUUGGUUGGAUCCUGGACAGCUUCCGUGCCCAAAACUCGCAUCAAGUUGGAGAUCCGGACUGGAAAGGAAAUGGGAAUGGAGAUGCCAAAGGAUCCUGGGCCUUUGGGAUGAGGCUUUCAUGGCCCCCACGGCCUCACCUUUGGGCUCCGGAGGUGGCAUCAGGCCCAGCCUGACCUUCUCCUGCAGCUCCUUCUGGGCCUCCCUGCGGGUCUGGCGCCGCAGCUUCUUCUGCUCCUUCUUGGUUAAAUAAACCCCUAAAGUCA